AUGACUGGUGUCCUUGUAAGAGACAGAAGGGGAGACACAGACACAGAGGAGAAACCAUGGGAUGGUGGAGGCAGAGAUGGGAGGGACACAGCCACCAGCCCUGGGACGUCUGGAGCCCCAGAUGCUGGAAGAGGCAGGAAGGACUCUGGUGUACAUUGCCCUCAAAGUUUGUGCUGGGUGGGAAUCGUGACAUCCCAACAGAACAUGUUCCAUCCUUUCUCCAUAUCCAAACCACCUUGAAUUAUUGUGCGUAGCACUAUGGCAGCCUUGUUCCCUCUGCGCUUUUUGCUCUGGGGUCUCGGAACACUUAAGACACUCUGUGAAACAAAACAUCCUUUGAAGCUGCAUCUACCAUUUCUGGAAAUUAAAGUAGUAUCCUCCUCCUUAGAGAUAUUACUGGCAACACAUGGCUUGGGGAAAGUCUUUCCCUAAAAUCUAAAUGCUCCAAAACCUAUAGCACCAAGUGGUUUAUGCCCUUGCCCAACUAAUCCAUUCAAAGUUCUGGUCAACUACCAAACUUUGGUCACAUCUGUUGACUACUGAUCACUUUUUCGAAUACAUAGAGUACUGGAUUUCUUUCACAACACAGGCUCGUUGAAAAAUGAGAUCCCUACGUCUUCCGUUGUAUGCACCUGCGCUUCCUACGUGGCUAAAUCAUUCCCACCUUUGUGGAUUAUUGGUUAAUUCAUUCUGUUCUGUGUGAAUUAUCUCUCAUUUUCCUAUGCUUUCCGUAAGUAUCUUCAGAUGCCUUCCUUUCUACGUCUGCUAUGUCAACUCUUCCUGCAACGUCCAGUUCACGUACUACGUCAGGAUUGGGUCUUGGUCAUUUAGUCUACUGAGAAAUCUGCUAUCCCUAGAGUCUUAAACAGCAAUUGCUCUUUGUACCACGACGUCUAGGAUGCAAUUAAAUGUCCGUUAAUCUUACGAUAAUAGGCCUGCAGUGGUUUCAGAAACAAAUCCUCAUUAGAGCCAAUAAAUACCCUUUCUCAUAGGGGAUACGAAGGCA
rnacentral:lncRNA from 1 species